rnacentral:rRNA from 1 species
AGGAAAUAGAUACCCGGGUAGUCCACGCCCUAAACGAUGUCGACUAGGUGUUCGGUGAGGAGACUCAUUGAGUACCGCAGCUAAACGCGUGAAGUCGACCGCCUGGGGAGUACGGUCGCAAGAUUAAAACUCAAAGGAAUUGACGGGGACCCGCACAAGCGGUGGAUGAUGUGGAUUAAUUCGAUGCAACGCGAAAACCUUACCUACCCUUGACAUGUACGGAACCCUGCUGAGAGGUGGGGGUGCUCGAAAGAGAGCCGUAACACAGGUGCUGCAUGGCUGUCGUCAGCUCGUGUCGUGAGAUGUUGGGUUAAGUCCCGCAACGAGCGCAACCCUUGUCAUUAGUUGCUACGCAAGAGCACUCUAAUGAGACUGCCGGUGACAAACCGGAGGAAGGUGGGGAUGACGUCAAGUCCUCAUGGCCCUUAUGGGUAGGGCUUCACACGUCAUACAAUGGUCGGUACAGAGGGUUGCCAAGCCGCGAGGUGGAGCCAAUCCCAGAAAGCCGAUCGUAGUCCGGAUCGCAGUCUGC